rnacentral:rRNA from 1 species
AUGAACGCUAGCGGCAGGCCUAACACAUGCAAGUCGAACGGUAACAUAAAAAAGCUUGCUUUUUUGAUGACGAGUGGCGCACGGGUGCGUAACGCGUAUACAAUCUACCUUUUACAGGGGGAUAGCCUUUAGAAAUGAAGAAUAAUACCCCAUAGUAUAUAGUAAUGGCAUCAUUAUUAUAUUAAAGUUUCGGCGGUAAAAGAUGAGUAUGCGUUCUAUUAGCUAGUAGGUGUGGUAACGGCACACCUAGGCAACGAUAGAUAGGGGCCCUGAGAGGGGGAUCCCCCACACUGGUACUGAGACACGGACCAGACUCCUACGGGAGGCAGCAGUGAGGAAUAUUGGACAAUGGGCGGAAGCCUGAUCCAGCCAUGCCGCGUGCAGGAAGACUGCCCUAUGGGUUGUAAACUGCUUUUAUACGGGAAGAAACCCACCUACGUGUAGGUGGCUGACGGUACCGUAAGAAUAAGCAUCGGCUAACUCCGUGCCAGCAGCCGCGGUAAUACGGAGGAUGCAAGCGUUAUCCGGAAUCAUUGGGUUUAAAGGGUCCGUAGGUGGAUUAAUAAGUCAGAGGUGAAAGCCUGCAGCUUAACUGUAGAACUGCCUUUGAUACUGUUAAUCUUGAAUUAUUGUGAAGUAGUUAGAAUAUGUAGUGUAGCGGUGAAAUGCAUAGAUAUUACAUAGAAUACCGAUUGCGAAGGCAGAUUACUAACAAUAUAUUGACACUGAUGGACGAAAGCGUGGGGAGCGAACAGGAUUAGAUACCCUGGUAGUCCACGCCGUAAACGAUGGUCACUAGCUGUUCGAACUUCGGCUCAGCGGCCAAGCGAAAGUGAUAAGUAUCCCACCUGGGGAGUACGUUCGCAAGAAUGAAACUCAAAGGAAUUGACGGGGGCCCGCACAAGCGGUGGAGCAUGUGGUUUAAUUCGAUGAUACGCGAGGAACCUUACCAGGGCUUAAAUGGGAGAUGACAGGAGCAGAGACGCUCUUUUCUUCGGACAUCUUUCAAGGUGCUGCAUGGUUGUCGUCAGCUCGGGCCGUGAGGUGUCAGGUUAAGUCCUAUAACGAGCGCAACCCCUACCGUCAGUUGCCAGCAUGUAAAGAUGGGGACUCUAACGGGACUGCCGGUGCAAACCGUGAGGAAGGUGGGGAUGACGUCAAAUCAUCACGGCCCUUACGUCCUGGGCUACACACGUGCUACAAUGGCCGGUACAGAGGGAAGCUACCCUGCAAAGGGAUGCGGAUCUAUAAAGCCGGUCACAGUUCGGAUCGGGGUCUGCAACUCGACCCCGUGAAGCUGGAAUCGCUAGUAAUCGGAUAUCAGCCAUGAUCCGGUGAAUACGUUCCCGGGCCUUGUACACACCGCCCGUCAAGCCAUGGAAGCCGGGGGUGCCUGAAGUCUGUAACCGCAAGGAGCUGCCUAGGGUAAAACUAGUAACUAGGGCUA